UACAGAGGUCUCAAGCGUUGUUCGGAUUCAUUGGGCGUAAAGGGUGCGUAGGCGGCGCGGUAAGUCGGGUGUGAAAUCUCGGAGCUUAACUCCGAAACUGCAUUCGAUACUGCCGUGCUUGAGGACUGGAGAGGAGACUGGAAUUUACGGUGUAGCGGUGAAAUGCGUAGAUAUCGUAAGGAAGACCAGUGGCGAAGGCGGGUCUCUGGGCAGUAACUGACGUGAGGAGCGAAAGCGUGGGGAGCGAACAGG
rnacentral:rRNA from 1 species